GACGAACCGUGCGAACGUUAUUCGGAAUCACUGGGCUUAAAGCGCGUGUAGGCGGGAGGGCACGUCCGUCGCUGAAAUCCCCCGGCUCAACCGGGGAACGGGCACGGAUACGACCUUCCUGGAGGGGCGUAGGGGGACCUGGAACUUCCGGUGGAGCGGUGAAAUGCGUAGAUAUUGGAAAGAACACCGAUGGCGAAGGCACUCUACUGGGCUAUUACUGACACUCAGAGACGAAAGCUAGGGGAGCAAAUGGG
rnacentral:rRNA from 1 species